rnacentral:rRNA from 1 species
UACGUAGGGUGCGAGCGUUGUCCGGAAUUAUUGGGCGUAAAGAGCUUGUAGGCGGUUUGUCGCGUCUGCUGUGAAAAUCCGGGGCUUAACCCCGGACCUGCAGUGGGUACGGGCAGACUAGAGUGUGGUAGGGGAGACUGGAAUUCCUGGUGUAGCGGUGAAAUGCGCAGAUAUCAGGAGGAACACCGAUGGCGAAGGCGGUUCUCUGGGACGGUACUGACGCUGAGACGCGAAAGCGUGGGGAGCGAACAGG